UCACCUUAUUUUUCACGACAACAAGGGCGGCGCCAUUUCGCUCAUUUUGUCAACGUUCUUCCGGCCGCAUAGACGAUGAGCAGCUGAGGCAGUGACUGAAGGCGACGUGUUAAGCUUAAAAAGCUCACUCGAGCGCCUUUAUGUUUCUUUCUUACCAAUUUUAAGCCAACUGAGGAACACCCUUAUCCCAAGUAAUGGUUCGACUACGAUGUUCCGGUAACUUUAAACCACGCCUGGUGUUGAAAAGGUGGCCAGUUUCAGAUGCAUUGAUGUUUAGUGAUGCAGUGGACAACUGUGAGGAUGAUACAAUCAACAUGUUCCUAAACUGUAAUGCAGAAACACAAUGGGUGCAUCUAUCCGUCUCUGACCACAACUACACUUUAAAAUCACAACUCAACCUGAAGCAACCUACAUCUGAUAUGGGAAAACAAUGGUGCGGUUUCCCUGACAGGGCUUAUCCUGGUCCCAGGCUAAAAUGCAUAUUUGAGCUACAAUAAUUUAAAAACACCUUUUACUGACAUACCUCAACAUAUAUUAGUGCCAUUGUUUUGUCACAAGAUGCGCACCAGUCUUGUUUUUUGUAGGAUUUGUUUGUAAAAACUAAAAUGUCCUAAUAUAAUUAAGGCCUAGUCCUGUAAACCCUGUCCGAGAAACUGCUUCAAUGCUUCUGCUUCAUGUGUUGAGCUGGCACAAAUGUACAUAUCUCUGCUGAGAAACAACCAUCUUUGGUUCAGCUUUACACAGGGUUGAUAUUGCAUCCAUUACACAAGCACUUUACCAGUACAUACACCAACAGCUUCCAGAUAUACGCUUGGGAUCAGCUUCUGAUGACUCCGAUAAAGCUGUGUCUUAAUUUAUUGCAGGGUGGUCUUGCUUUACCGGUUGUAAAGUUACAUUAAACCUUCAUAUGUGAUCAGAUGUCAUGCAGUGAUAUUAAACAUUUACAGUGUGA